rnacentral:rRNA from 1 species
ACUCCUACGGGAGGCAGCAGUCGAGAAUCAUUCACAAUGGGGGCAACCCUGAUGGUGCAACGCCGCGUGGAGGAUGAAGGUCUUCGGAUUGUAAACUCCUGUCAUCUAGGAGCAAGGCAUGGUGGUGAAUAGCCAACAUGAUUGAUAGUACUAGAAGAGGAAGGGACGGCUAACUUCGUG